rnacentral:rRNA from 1 species
UACGUAGGGUGCGAGCGUUAAUCGGAAUUACUGGGCGUAAAGCGUGCGCAGGCGGCUUUGCAAGACAGAUGUGAAAGCCCCGGGCUCAACCUGGGAAUUGCAUUUGAAACUGGGGAACUAGAGUGUGUGAGAGGGGGGUAGAAUUCCAAGUGUAGCGGUGAAAUGCGUAGAGAUUUGGAGGAAUACCAAUGGCGAAGGCAAUCCCCUGGGCCUGUACUGACGCUCAUGCACGAAAGCGUGGGGAGCAAACAGG